UUGACCUCGGAUCAGGUAGGAAUACCCGCUGAACUUAAGCAUAUCAAUAAGCGGAGGAAAAGAAACCAACAGGGAUUGCCCUAGUAACGGCGAGUGAAGCGGCAACAGCUCAAAUUUGAAAUCUGGCUUUCGGGCCCGAGUUGUAAUUUGUAGAGGAUGAUUUUGAUGCGGUGCCUUCCGAGUUCCCUGGAACGGGACGCCAUAGAGGGUGAGAGCCCCGUCUGGUUGGAUGCCAAAUCUCUGUAAAUCUCCUUCGACGAGUCGAGUAGUUUGGGAAUGCUGCUCUAAAUGGGAGGUAUAUGUCUUCUAAAGCUAAAUACCGGCCAGAGACCGAUAGCGCACAAGUAGAGUGAUCGAAAGAUGAAAAGCACUUUGAAAAGAGAGUUAAAAAGUACGUGAAAUUGUUGAAAGGGAAGCGUUUAUGACCAGACUUGGGCUUGGUUAAUCAUCUGGGGUUCUCUCCAGUGCACUUUUCCAGUCCAGGCCAGCAUCAGUUUUCGCCGGGGGAUAAAGGCUUCGGGAAUGUGGCUCCCCUCGGGGAGUGUUAUACCCC
rnacentral:rRNA from 1 species